rnacentral:rRNA from 1 species
CCUACGGGGGGCAGCAGUGAGGAAUAUUGGUCAAUGGGCUUACGCCUGAACCAGCCAAGUCGCGUGAGGGAAGACUGCCCUAUGGGUUGUAAACCUCUUUUGUCAGGGAGCAAUUGGCGCUACGUGUAGCGUUAUCGAGAUUACCUAAAGAAAAGGCAUCGGCUAACUCCGUGCAAGCGGCCGGGGGAAUACGGGGGAUGCGAGCGUUAUCAGGAUUUAUUGGGUUUAAGGGGUGCGUAGGCGGAAUGCCAAGUCAGCGGUAAAAUCGCGGGGCUCAACCUCGCUCCGCCGUUGAACCUGGCGGUCUUGAGUGGGCGAGAAGUAUGCGGAAUGCGCGGUGUAGCGGUGAAAUGCAUAGAUAUCACGCAGAACUCCGAUUGCGAAGGCAGCAUACCGGCGCCCAACUGACGCUGAAGCACGAAAGCGUGGGUAUCGAACAGGAUUAGAUACCCCGGUAGUC